rnacentral:rRNA from 1 species
AGCGAACGUUAGCGGCGGGCCUAACACAUGCAAGUCGAGCGAGAAAGUGGCUUCGGCCAUCAGUAAAGCGGCGGACGGGUGAGUAACACGUAGGUAAUCUUCCCUUGAGCGGGGGACAACGUUUCGAAAGGAACGCUAAUACCGCAUAAGUUUCCGAGGACUCUGGUUCUUGGAAGGAAAGCUAGGCCGCAAGGUCCGGCACUCGAGGAGGAGCCUGCGUCGCAUCAGCUAGUUGGUGGGGUAAUGGCCUACCAAGGCGAAGACGCGUAGCUGGUCUGAGAGGAUGAUCAGCCACACUGGGACUGAGACACGGCCCAGACUCCUACGGGAGGCAGCAGUGGGGAAUAUUGGACAAUGGGCGCAAGCCUGAUCCAGCCACGCCGCG